AUUUGUUCAGGUCGUGUUCUCUGUUUCGGUCGGUAGCAUGAAGCAUCGUGAACAAACGAAUAACAUUGAGUGUUGAUAAGUGCAGAGCAGCAGCGUAUAUCUGUUGAAAUGACUCACCGUCACUGAAUCAUAGACACCUCAACAACGGUUGAGUAGAGUAGAAGGGUUCGAAGUAUAAAAAAAAAUGAUUUCAACGAGAGUGUCAAUGCGAGUAUUUGCAAACUAAUGAGGAAAAAAAAGCGGAAAAAAUGAAGAUCAAACAUUCAAACAAGGAUGUAUUGAAGUGGUUGAUUUGCUAGCCGGGUCUAUCGAUUCAAUCGGUAUAUAUCACCUAAUGUCAUUCAGCAACAUCAUCAUCAUCAUCAUUUUUGCACCGAGCGAAUUGUUUCUAAACAAUGCUGGUAAUUUCCUGUAACGUUGUUUGAUGUUGAUAUUUUUGUUGUUGACCGGCUAUCGAUAAUCGAACAACAACUUCUCUUGGAUGUCUGCCACUGCUAUUGCUGUUGCCGUUAUUAUUGUUGCUGUUGUUGUUGUAACUGCGUCAAGCGGCUCCACAGUUGAUUCCAUUCGAUAAUGUGUUCAAAUUAUUUUGAUUGGACUGAUUUAGUACGCCGCAUGCCUUAAGCUCGGUGAAAAUUUCGGUGAAAAAUCCGGGCUCCGCAUUGAUUCGAAGCAUAUUACCACUGAGGCGAUUCACAAUCAAGAGACAUCUACGAAUGGAAAUGCACAGGAGAAGAACGAAAUCAGAGAAUGGUUUCAGCGGAUAACUAAUUUCAUUGCCCAUGUACGAAUACGACAAGUACAAACAUGUUAAAACAGAUGCUUGCAAUUCAGACUCUUUGGUCUCUUCGCCGUCGACCAACUCUCGAACCAACAUGUAAACGAACACAACAUUGGCUGGGUUAAUGAAUGCCACAUCCUAUCCAUCGUUGCACACCAUACCAGAAAAAGAAGAAGAAGAAACAAAAGUUUUGACAUGAGAUCGAUACAUACAAAUGAGGGAGAGACAGAGACAUUCUGCACAUUGUUUGUCAAGAUAAAUUACCUGCCAUCCUUGAAGUAAAAGGCUACGAUCAACUGCUCUUAGCCACAUAACCGCAUCGCCUGCUUGGAAAUCUCGCAAUUUUCGGCAACGGUCAUGCAAAAACAUUCCCAAACAUUUCAAAAGCUCAGAAGUUGAAGCCUAGUCGUGUUGUUUUAGAUUUAACAAGAAAAAUGUUAUUUAUAUCGAAAUAUCCAUGUAUGAGCUCAUUUCUAAACCGAAAAAAACCGCACAAUUUGCAUUGGUUACGUCGAAGCAGCUGGGCUGACAAACGUUGAAAAUGUUAUUUGAACGCAAAUUAGUUAUAAGCAAAAUUGUUAAACCUACAACAUUUUGGAGGCGAGAACAAAAUCCCCACAGCCCACAUAUACGCACACGUACGGCAUGAAGCCAACCAAUUAGUAUUGACUGUACGAAAUUUUGCUCGCUGUGUGGAAAAUUGUAUUGUCAAUAUUUGUAGGAAAUAAAUUGAAACAAAAUAUUCAAGUUGACAAUGAAAAUGCAUUUACUUCGAAAUAAAUCCAAUUAUUUGCGAGCAAUCGAAGCAUUCCCUUCGAUGAACCGACCAUUUCGUCAACUUUUGCAGUUAAUUGUCAUAGCAAAUUUAUUAACACAGUAUUCUGGUGAAAAUUAUAAUUGUAAAUUUCAAUGAUAAACUGACCCAAUUCUUCGUACGUAGAAUGCUGAGUCAAUAGCAAA